AUUGAACGCUGGCGGCAUGCCUUACACAUGCAAGUCGAACGGCAGCACGGGUGCUUGCACCUGGUGGCGAGUGGCGAACGGGUGAGUAAUAUAUCGGAACGUACCUUAUUGUGGGGGAUAACGCAGCGAAAGCUGUGCUAAUACCGCAUAAUCCCUAAGGGGGAAAGCGGGGGACCGUAAGGCCUCGGGCACUUAGAGCGGCCGAUACCUGAUUAGCAAGUUGGUGAGGUAAAGGCUCACCAAGGCAACGAGCAGUAGCUGGUCUGAGAGGACGAUCAGCCACACUGGGACUGAGACACGGCCCAGACUCCUACGGGAGGCAGCAGUGGGGAAUUUUGGACAAUGGGGGCAACCCUGAUCCAGCAAUGCCGCGUGAGUGAAGAAGGCCUUCGGGUUGUAAAGCUCUUUUGUCAGGGAAGAAACAGCAGCUCUAACACAGUUUGCGAAUGACGGUACCUGAAGAAUAAGCACCGGCUAACUACGUGCCAGCCGCCGCCGUAA
rnacentral:rRNA from 1 species